CUGUAGCCGAGGAGGGAGGACUAACUACACUGCCAAAUACUCUCUUAGCUGGAAAGAAAGCUGCAAGCCUGGGAAUUGUAAGAAAACUAGAUAUUACCAGCAUCAAAUCAUCCACAGAGCACUCUAACUAAAAGGAGAACAUUAUGGAUCCAAAAAAUCCAAGCUCUCACAGAGAAUAGACUGGAAAAGCAAGAUAACUACUUCCCCAACAAAGCCUGAUAUCUUCUAGAAACAAUGACAG